rnacentral:rRNA from 1 species
UCCUACGGGAGGUAGCAGUGGGGAAUAUUGGACAAUGGGCGCAAGCCUGAUCCAGCCAUGCCGCGUGUGUGAAGAAGGCCUUAUGGUUGUAAAGCACUUUAAGCGAGGAGGAGGCUACUUUAGUUAAUACCUAGAGAUAGUGGACGUUACUCGCAGAAUAAGCACCGGCUAACUCUGUGCCAGCAGCCGCGGUAAUAC